rnacentral:rRNA from 1 species
AUACGUAGGGGGCAAGCGUUGUCCGGAAUUAUUGGGCGUAAAGGGCGCGUAGGCGGAUACUUAAGUCUGGUGUGAAAACCCAGGGCUCAACCCUGGGAGUGCAUUGGAAACUGGGUAUCUUGAGUGCAGGAGAGGGAAGUGGAAUUCCACGUGUAGCGGUGAAAUGCGUAGAGAUGUGGAGGAACACCAGUGGCGAAGGCGACUUUCUGGACUGUAACUGACGCUGAGGCGCGAAAGCGUGGGGAGCAAACAGGAUUAGAUACCCUGGUAGUCCACGCCGUAAACGAUGAGUGCUAGGUGUAGGAGGUAUCGACCCCUUCUGUGCCGCAGUAAACACAAUAAGCACUCCGCCUGGGGAGUACGGCCGCAAGGUUGAA